UACGUAGGGUCCGAGCGUUGUCCGGAAUUACUGGGCGUAAAGAGCUCGUAGGUGGUUUGUCGCGUUGUUCGUGAAAACUCACAGCUUAACUGUGGGCGUGCGGGCGAUACGGGCAGACUUGAGUACUGCAGGGGAGACUGGAAUUCCUGGUGUAGCGGUGGAAUGCGCAGAUAUCAGGAGGAACACCGGUGGCGAAGGCGGGUCUCUGGGCAGUAACUGACGCUGGAGACGCGAAAGCGUGGGGAGCGAACAGG
rnacentral:rRNA from 1 species